rnacentral:tRNA from 1 species
GUGGGUAUGGCGGAACUGGCAGACGCGUAAGUUUCAGACGCUUAUGGGCAACCGUGCAGGUUCAAGUCCUGUUACCCACACCA